rnacentral:rRNA from 1 species
UACGGAGGAUGCGAGCGUUAUCCGGAUUUAUUGGGUUUAAGGGGUACGUAGGCGGGCUGUUAAGUCAGCGGUCAAAUGUCGGGGCUCAACCCCGGCCUGCCGUUGAAACUGGCGGCCUCGAGUGGGCGAGAAGUAUGCGGAAUGCGUGGUGUAGCGGUGAAAUGCAUAGAUAUCACGCAGAACUCCGAUUGCGAAGGCAGCAUACCGGCGCCCGACUGACGCUGAGGCACGAAAGCGUGGGGGGCAAAUAG